ensembl:lncRNA
GCGGCGCGGCGCGGCGCGGCGCGGAGACUGAAGCGCGCGAGACUGAGGCGGCAGCGGAGGGGACGGCUGCGCCGGGCGACUCUGUAGGAAGGAACUUGGUUCCCCCUCCCUCAUCUCCCGCCCCAAAAGAGUCAAGACCGCAUUAUGGCGGCUGCGGGAGUUGUGUUGCGCCUGCGCGGUUGCGGAGCUGCGGGCGGACGCUGCAUGGGAGCACGUGAUCUUGCGGGGUCGGGCUCUAGCUGCAGUUGUGCAGCUGGCGGGGCGGUGGCUGCGCAAGCGCAAUAUUCAUUUUCAAGAUCUAAUGUUCUUGUUGGACGCCAUUCGGGUUCUAGAUUUAAUUUUCCUCAUUCUUGAGGGGUUUCAUUUUGUUACGCUUAAAUUCCCUCACUUUUCAAGAAAAACGUUUCUCUUAUGUUGUAUUCCUGUACCGACCUCAGACUUUUUUAUGAUAUUUCUCCGAUUCUUUGAGAAGCUGUGUACUUAGUUUUCUGUAAAAAUGAUUGCCCACUUGUGGUUCUCGAUUUUAAUUUCACUUUUGGGACAGUGCUGGAUUCAAUUGUAUAUUUAGGGAGAUAAAGAUCAGCACCUAGUGGUGUUAUCACGGGAAGUGCAUUUAUUUGAACUGCAUAUUUGCAAAUACAUUUUUAACCCUAUUUUUACCAGUCCUGUUAUGGAAUGUUUUCAAAAUGGAAACAGUUUGAAUUUUGGAAAUAUGAAGGCAAGGAGCUUUGGAAGAACUUAUAUAACGUUUGAAAGGAAACCUCAAUCUACUUGCGUAUUUAUUUUUUAAAAAUAUUUGAUCCUUAGUGAAGUUUUAAUCAGUGUGUACUUUUGAUCUUUCAUGCAUUUGAGUUUCACAUUUUUUCUCUCCCUGUCACUUGUCCAUUACCGCUGCAGUUAGAUUAUUUUUAUUACUCUGACUUUUAAAAUUAAGUCAUUUUCUUAGCGUUUUGUUUGUAAUGAUAUGUGAAAUAGAACACUAAAACUUGAUACAUUUUUCUGUUAAAGAAUUCUGCAAAGAACUCUCAACUACACUGAGGCCUUUAUUAGGACAUCGUGAACCAUCAAGAAAACAGUUGAUUAAAAAAAUGUCAUUUAUACAUAUAAGAUAAAAUUGUGUUUGAUUUUUUAAAAUUGUGUGUUCCUGGUUUCUUAAAGAAGUAGUUUCUUAAAAGAAGUAGUUUCUUAAAGAAGUAGUUAUAAGUAUGCUACUUAUUAUUUUAGUUUAAAAUGUUAGUGUCAUUAUAUUUGAAUCUUAUAUGAGCCUCUGGGAGAAGUUUUAUACAAUUUGAUAUAAUUUUACUAUUGUGCAAAUUAUUUCUUACUGGACUGAAAACUUGUAAAUGGUUGUCAUAAACUUUAUCUGUGGUUUGUAUAUAUAACAGUUGUUUUUCUUGGUUGGUUAUGUAACUCUAAGUCAGUCACCUGUCAAACGAAGAAGUGGCUGUUGCUUUGUAAUCUUGGUUGGUUUAGGGCCUUUAUUGCUUAAAGCACUGUUGAGAAGUACUAAGUAGAUGCAAUUGAACUUUUGGUUGCUGAAUUUUUAAAAAAUGACAUCACAUAGGAGGUAGAAUGCAGUGAUAGGAACAAUUCUUUUUUUUCUCAACAGAACAUUUGUUGUUGAUAUGAUUUACAGACCUCUGAAGUCUCCUACCCAGAAAUAUAUUUAGAGGGAUACUGUGUAAUCUUUCCCCUUGUAUGCUUUGGGGGUGGUUAUCCAGCAUACUCCACCACCCUCUAGACAUUGUUGCAGGUGUUUUAGAGAUGGAAAUAUGUUGUAUUUUCUGUAUCUGUGUGUAUGUAUAUGUUUAUCUGAAUACGCAUACAUAUUUAGGUUAAGAAAAGAACUUUUAUCGUAGGGCAUGGUUCCCUCUGUGAAAGUGAAGUAUUUUGGUUUGUAUAUUUAAGCUUAUGUUUUCAUUUGCAUACACCAAUGAUUGCCUUUUUAUGUUAAUGUUGAAGAUCAUAAGAGAUACUGAAAACACUGAAAAACAUAGUGUACUAUGUAAACAUUUAUUGGACAGUUUUAUUGUCUUGUUUGUUAGAAAGGCAAGUAUAGUUCUGUAAACUUAAAACUAAUAUUAAUGAAUUGUCGGAACAUAUAGUCUUUGUUCACUAGUACUCUGUCAAUAACAAGCAUAUUUUGGAAUUUUAGUUUAGGAGAUAUGAUGACCCAUAUGUAGCAUAUAUGAACAUUAAGACUAGGUUACAGAAUGAGUACUAAGUUACUGGGUGUCAUUUGAAAUCUUUUUAGGUUUGUAAAUUUUAAAUAUAAAUUUAGUUUAGGAAUAAAAGGUUUGAAUAAUUGAACCAGAAACCAUUAACAUUUCUUUUUUCUUUAAAUUGUGAUUUGAAUAUGUGAUAUCUUUAUUAAACUUUUAAAACUUAUUAUAACACAUUUGGAAAAUGUUGAAAAUUGAUAACACACUAGAUGUUUUUGUGAUUUUUGUGACUUUCCCAUUUAUUGAUUGAUAAAUUAGUUUAUCAUUUGGAUCAUAAUUUCAUUCCUGCUCCUUUAACUUCGUAUUGUGGCUAUUUACCAAUUUUACUCUUUUGAAAUAUGUUUUCUAAUUAUUACAUAAUAUUUAUUUUGUGAAAAUAUCCCAAGUUAUCAAAUCCAAAUGGAAGUCCCAGUCUAGGGGUCAAAUUGAAGUUGCAACUGCUGGCCUCUACCACAGCCACAGCAAUGCCAAAUCUAAGCUGUGUGUGCAACCUAUGCCUCAGUUUGCGCCAGUGCCCCACUGAGCGAGGCCAGGGGUGAAACUUUCAUCCUCAUGGAUACUAAUCAGAUUCUUAACCCACUGAGCCACAACAGGAACUCCUUGACAUACAUUUUUAAAUGGCCACAUAGUAUUUUUAUCUUUAAUAAGAAUGUAUUGUGACCUAUUAAACCUUUCCUUUUUUGUUGACCAUUUUGUUGACAAUUUCUGUAUUCUAAAUAAUACUACAGUGAAUAUCCUUUACAUGAGUCAUGAUCUGCAUCUCAUAGUAUUUCUUUGAAAUUAUUGUUGCUCUGAAAGUAAUUUACAAAAUUGAUAAAAACUUAGUUUUUUUGAAGAGCAUUUCCCAUACCACUUUCAACUUGGUGGUUGAAAAUAGUAGCUCCUUAAUUUUUUUUUUUUUUCUGAUAACUAGUGAAGUUGAAAUUUAUUUAAUAUAUAAAUAACUUUCUCAUUUUUGGUGACUUUUCUGUCUGAAGUUAUUUUGCAUAUUUUUCUGUAGUGAAUGUUAAUGUUUUUCUUAUUGUAACAGCUAUUUAUGGAUAUUAGCCUUUUGCUUUAAAUAUUUUUUACAAAUUUUUUAGUUAUAAUUUAAGAAAUUGCUUAUGGUUUUACAUACUUAGAAUUAUGUUACAUUUUUAUGUAGUCAAAUGCAUGGCGUUUUCAUUUGUGAUUUCUUCUAGGACUUCUCUGCAUUAAAAAAUACUACUUAUGGGAGUUCCCGUCGUGGCGCAGUGGUUAACGAAUCCGACUAGGAACCAUGAGGUUGCGGGUUCUGUCCCUGCCCUUGCUCAGUGGGUUAACGAUCCAGCGUUGCCGUGAGCUGUGGUGUAGGUUGCAGGCGCGGCUUGGAUCCCGCGUUGCUGUGGCUCUGGGGUAGGCCAGUUGCUGUGGCUCUGAUUCGACCUCUAGCCUGGGAACCUCCAUAUGCCGCGGGAGCAGCCCAAA